AGGUGCUUGUUAUGUCUGUUGGAUUCUCCAACGAGGGUGUUCGUCUGGUUUCGAUUUUGAACAUCUCCAAUGGACACGGGUGGAAGAUGUUUGAUCAAAAUCAUAGUGCCGGAGAAGAUUUGGUCAAUGAACUUGGACAUGGCUCGCCAAAGAUUGUAAUUGGCCACAACGUAAUGGAUAUGUUGGAUGAAGUGGUUGAUACAUCACAAGUCGUGGGGGUUAUUGAACUGGAAUGGUUACUUUCGCAAGGACAGAGGCCACACUUUCAAGCUCAACCAUCAUGGUGGGAUAUUGUGAGCACGCACUUGUCUUUCGAUUUUCAGUUCGUUCCAGUUCAACCAUUUGACAUCCAUUAUUUCACUCUGCUAUUCAUCAGGGCUCAAAUGCGGUGGUUACACUUAUCUAUGGAUAACUUUAUCCAACAAGCAUUCAGGAAAUUUGUAUUACCUCUUUCAAUCUGUGGACAACUCCGACCCCGAGAUUCAAACAUGUAUGUACUUACCAAUUCAGAGAAAAAUGAAAAUCGGAUUCGUGCUCCACCUACCUUUACUUUUGAAGAUUUGGCAGACUCGACUUCUGAAAGUGAUCAACCUUCAAGUCCAAUAUCAAGCUCUGUUGGCUCUGACAGUGAUGAUUGUCCUUAUGCAGGAGUUUCAAUUUACUCCAAACAGUCCACACCAUCAAACCAGUGGCCUCAGAAAAGCGGAUAUUUGAAGUUUAACUUAUUGAUCCUGAAUUUGAAAACUACAUCAACAAGAGGCACCUCGUUCAUAUCAGCGUUUGAGGCCUAUUUGCCUGCCCAAGACUCAAGCUUCCACGAACCAAUAUUUCCGGAGGGAAUUAGUCUGGACAAGCUUUUAGAGAGCGGAUACUCAUGGAAUGGAAGCACUUGGAGCAUGGAAAUAGGAGACUCUAGUAGGCUUGUUAUUUCUGAGAGCGAAUGUCUCGAGAGACUCAAAGCAUUUGCUAAUGAUGGUUUCGGACCUCGUCAACCAUUUGCACUUGUAGUGCCAUGCGUUGAAGCUUUGGAUCAGUUUCUUUUCAUUCUGAAGAGGCACAAUUGGUCCAAGAAGUUCUUUGAGGCAUGCCGUGGAUGGUUGGAUGUCAAGUCCUUGAUGUAUCUUAGGGUUAUGACCCCUCGUCGAUACUUCAUCAAAGCCUUGGAUCUGGAGGACUCGGAAUUGUUCCAAAUGUGCGAGCACGUUGAUAUGCGACCCCGCGGACGGUUCGGACUAGUGCCUAAUGUCAUUGACAAGAUUUUGAGCUCAAAGUUCAAAGAUGUGAACUUUUACAGCCAAGCCUUGCCAAUCAAUCUCGGUGUUCAGCCUCACAAUUUGCUUUUUGUACACGGAAAAGCUAUCAAGUAUUCUGUUGAUCGUGAAUGUGAAUGGCUAAGUAUCAUUUAUGCCAAGAACAUUGCCAGUGGCCGAACCUUCCAAUGUGCAAUUGAACCAUACGGAGUUUGGGAUCCCAACUUGAUUCAAGACUUCGGUUACAAGCGAGACUCUGACUCUUGGAUCUUGGAACAAAACGGAAAGAUAAUGCCUUGUUUAUCCCUUUUGGAUGCCCUUAUCGAGUUCUUUAGGUUCGUUUGUGCUGACUCUGAGCAGAAGAAGACCAUUCUCAUUUGCUCCGUUUUUAACGAAUCCUUGGCACAUCUCUUUGCAAUUGUCCAGUUCAUGCAAGCUAACGAUGUAUUCUUCAAUGACAUCGUUGGUAUUUUUGAAAUGGCUACUUUUCUCUGGCAGGAGAAUAGAACACAGUUCUUUACCACCGAUGCUAUUCUGGAGCACUACAAAACCAAAAUCCGAGGCCCAUCUCACAAUUUCAAUUCUUCGUCAGACAUUGAAAGACAAGGUGAAAAAAUACUGGAAUGUCUAGCCCUUCAAGCAAAAGAAGGCUCCAUUGACAUAGAGAAGAUGGUCGUCAAAAAUGCAUUCGGAUGGAAUUCUCCUCCUUGGAACAAAUUGCUCAAAGAGUCGCAUGUUCUCAUGUUCCAAGACCAUGUUUUUCCCGUGAGGUUGACCUCAAAUGUUACCAUAACGAAAAAUCUGUCAACAUUCGUGGCUUGUCAAGUGGCCCAACCAGUGAUAUCUUUCAGAGAUAGAGAGUUCUUAACUCUAUCUCACCCAAUGACCAACAUUCAGGUGCUUGAUAGAAUACAAAUAUCUCCAGUCAGGCCCUUUUUUCUGAACAUCAUUCACCAUGGAGAGUCCAAAGAACUAGAGAAGGGAUCCAUUAUUGGAUUGGUUUGUCCCCUAGACAGAUUUCAGUCGUUUGAGUGUGAUUUGAAAUCCAAACUAGAGGCCAUCCACCAAGAAAGGGCAAAACUUCCUCGUUCCAAUUCAAGGGAUUGUCUCCUACAGGAAAACUAUCAAAUCGUCGAGAAUGCAGAACAUAAACCAGACAUCCGUGUUCUAAAUCAAAUCACAUUGAACUCAGCCAAGAAAGCAAAAAUGGGCCAAAAGGAGAACGAGAGCAUUCUAAAAGAACCUAUUAUGGAAGUUAAAUCAGAAAGUCCACGUAUUAUUACUCCACAUGCUAAAGAGCAAAAGAUUGAUCCUUCUUUCGAAUCUUUUGAGGGCAAAUCUGGGGAGAACUUAGCCAACCUGCUUGACAAAUUCGUGGCUACCAAAGACUAUCAAAAGCAACCUGACCAAGGAAACGAGCCAAGAGAGAGGAGGGCCCACCAACUGUCUUUGGAAGAACUUCAAGACAAGGUCUAUGCCCUGUUGGACUUUCCGUCGUUCGCUCCCCUCAUUUUGAAUUACAUAAAAUGGUGUUCCAUGAAUGGAAAUGAUGUGGAUGAAGCGGUUGGUGAUGCCAUUAUCACCCAUCUGGUUGGCAUGGGUUGUGAAUCCUUAGACGCUCUUAAGGACACGUUUGUCAAUCUAAGCUCAUGGAAUGAGUCUCAAAUACGAAGUGCACUCACUCGGCAAUUCCCUUCCAUCGAAAUGUUAAUGUCUAGGGACUUGAUGGAAACCCUAGUUGGAAUAGUCAUCCUUGAAUUUGGUCCAGCAAGCCAAGGUGAAACGUCCCUCAACUUGACGGAAGUCACAACACAUAUUGCCCCUAACAUAAGCCAAACUAUGCAUCAAAAUGGGUCCUCUGACACUAGUAUUUUGGAACUAAAUGAGCCUGAAGAUCAACCUAAUUGCGAUGCAAAAUCCUCGAGGUUAAAUCAUGAUGGGCAAGUCCACUUGCUUCCACUUAAAAGCAUCAACUUUAGUUCGAACCAAAUUCAAGAAGAGAUAACUACCAGGCACAUUAUUGAAAAUUACAUGAAAUGGAAAUCGAGUGUCAGAAGGGAAUCAAUAUAAUCACAAGGAACUGCCAUUCUGCGCAAAACAGUCAUGGAGCUGGAUUCGUUAUGGAAGGAUUGUCUCCAUUUCCGAUAAAAAUCAUCUUGUUGUGAGGGACGAAUCAUCUCGAGCAAAUCCUUGCGAAAACGAUGGAAAAGUGCAAGGAAAGAUCAUCAACGAAUCUACACCAACCAUCAAUCAAACGGCCAUCAUCUUUCCUGGUCAAACUUGGAAUUGCAUGGGCAUGACGACAGAUGAAUUACAGAAAUACGAUCAAAUAUACUGGGGUUUCAUUGCCAAAGUGGAUUACCUGGCUCAUGUGGUCAAAGUGGGAUUUUGCAAGGACAAUUGCUUGCAAUAUGCCUCCAUCGAUUUAAGCAAAGUCAUUGGCACUUUCAAAAGAAUUUUGCACCAUCUUCCCUGUCUAUUUCAUAUGGAUUCUACCUCAACCGUCUCAUUUUUGCUUCUAAAUCCCACUCCGUCAUUUGUUAUCGUGAAACUAGUCUCAUCAAGCAACCUCCAAACCUUGAAGUCGUUUUUUCAAGAAAUCACAUUUCUCCCCAUCAACGAGGAGAAGGUUUUCUGCAUCCAGUCAUUGCCUUCUCCGACGUUUAAAUUCACAGAUUUCAACCGGAAGUUUUUGACGGCCAUCGAUAUCCAUCAAGAUCCUCAAAAAAUUCGAACAUUUUGUGAAACCAUUAGUCCACGAACUCGGGUGCAACUCUUGUUUAGACCUGGCCGGGUGCUUGUUAUGAGUGAGCUACAGGAAGAUCAGAACUUAAUGGUGGAAGCUAUAUCUCAAAUCGGUUCGAACGAAGGGUCGCAAAUGGUUACCUCCGAUUGGAUAGAUUUCUGUUGUAGCAUAAGUCCAAGACACCCAGACGACACAAUUCCAAUCAAUCAAGGGAAUUGCCGGUCUUCCACCUCAAGCACCUCAUCUCAAGCCUAUUCUGAUGAUGAUAUUCCUGGUUUGGAACACAAAUCUGAGUCCCCAAAUUGGUCUGAUUCCAGUUACAUUCAAAGACGAACAAUGCUUUGCAAAGAACAUGCCAAAUGGAAAAGACACUUAUGUCUAAAUUAUCUCAUGAAAAAAUGUUCCAACCGCGGAAAAUGCCCCUUCCAACACAAUUUGGCCGUUUGCUUUAUGUCUUACGAAUUAUGUUGGGGCUUUAUUUAUGGGAUCUGUCCAAGGCAAAUAUGUUUUUAUCCUCAUAAGACCAUCGAGACUAUAUGUGAAGAAUAUGAUCGGAGAGCCGCAAUACUGAUCGACAACUGCAAGGCGUGUGGUCAUAACGAAAAAGUCAAUGAAGACCCGGACACACAGAGUGUUCCAAAACACGUAAUUGGACUUUCCAAGAAAAGAACUUUAUCUCCAAAUCCUAACACUGGGCCAAGUUCAAAAAUUGGGCCCCGCCUGUUCUCUACCAAACUGUGGACUCCGUGAUAUUCACACGCAUUUUUGUGCUCCACCAGAUAACUUGGGUUCGAGUCUUCAAGAAGGGGAAUCGUCAUCUUCUCGUAUUCUAUCAAGAUCUCAUAUCAUUCCAACUUCUAGUCAACAAGUAUUAUGUUCAUAUAAAUAUUCGCCAAUGAAAUUGUUUUUCUCUCAGAAUUGAAUAAGAAAGAAUGCUAAAUUAAAAGCAAAUCGACUUUUUGUAAUCAAAAAAUACCUGGUGCCGAGGAAAGGAAGCGAUGUGACGCCUUAAACAAGCCUUGUUACAAAUGUUUAAACGCUUGAAGGAGAUGUUUCAAUAAGGCGCCAAACUUAGUCGAAAGCACUUGUCACGACGCUUAGAGUAAUGGGGAAAGUUUCCAAUUUUUGACAAUUU